CCCAUUGCAGACUCACAUUAACAAGAGAGCAUAUGAUUAAACUAAGAUAAUUUUCCUAGGACAACUUUUUAUUCUUGGCCAAGAAUCUUUUUUUUACCGAAGUCAGGAAGGGAAACCCGGCCUAUUUUUUUUCAUUUGUUGAUAAUGCAGAUCUGUUUAAAUUCGCUCCCAUGAGGAGUCGAACCCAGAUCUACUGGUGCUCUAACCACUAGGCUAAAGACCCUUUCACUCGGCC
rnacentral:lncRNA from 1 species